rfam:Capsicum annuum cultivar Zunla-1 chromosome 9, whole genome shotgun sequence
UGAUGAUUGUGAGGGAAAUUUUUUAGCAUACUCUUAAAUCUCUCCAAAUCUUGGUAGAGAUUUUCUUUUUCUUUUUGGCUAAAACUCAGAAUCUCUCUUCUCAAACA